UCUCGAGAAAAUAUAUGCAAAUGAUUUUAUUUAUUUAUUUAUUUAUUUACAGUAUUUAUAUUCCGCCCUUCUCACCCCGAAGGGGACUCAGGGCGGAUUACAAUGAACACAUAUAUGGCAAACAUUCAAUGCCAACAGACAAACAACAUUCAGUUUUAGACAGACACAGAGGCAUUUUUUAACAUCUUUCCAGCUUCACGAUUUCCAGCCACAGGGGGAGCUGUUGCUUCACCAUACAUUGGUGGCUGUUCUUCCUCUUCUUUUCCUCGUGAGCAGUUUUAUGGUGUUGUAGAUUAGUUAAAUUAGCCUCCCGCAUAAAGCGUCCCUAAAUUUUCCCUACUUGACAGAUGCAACUGUCUUUCGGGGCUGCUAGGUCAACAGCAAGCCGGGGCUAUUUUUUUUUAUUUUAUGGUCGGAGGCUUAACCCGACCCGGGCUUCGAACUCAUGACCUCUCGGUCAGUAGUGAUUUAUAGCAGCUGGUUACUAGCCAGCUGCACCACAGCCCGGCCCCCGGAGAUUUUCCUCUCCAUGUCACAUCAGUUGUAGGAACUAGGCUGUCUUCAUCAAGUCAUAGAAGCAUGAAGAAUUUUAGAAAGGUUUUGGGGUAUCUGGAUUAUGCGUCAUAACUGUAACUGUGGCCUGAGUCCUUUAAUACCAGCUGGAUCCAGUGAAUAAGCUGUUGAAUGGCAGUUCUUUCCAGGCAACAGGUUACCUACAGGAUUGCCUUCUGCCAUACAGCCUGUGUCUACUCCAGCUUGCCAGAACUCGACUGGCAACUGUCACCCAGAGGACCUUUUCAUCGGCUGCCCCAAGAAUGUAGAAUGACCUGCCAGAAGAGCUCUGACAGCUAAAUGAGCUGUUGGAAUUUAAAACACAUCUGAAGACCUAGCUCUUCCAGCAGGCCUACCCAGACAGUUUUAAUCAUGAAUUUUAAACUUGUG
rnacentral:lncRNA from 11 species